AGCGAACGCUGGCGGCAGGCCUAAUACAUGCAAGUCGAACGGUCUCUUCGGAGGCAGUGGCGGACGGGUGAGUAACGCGUGGGAACGUGCCCUUUGGUACGGAACAACUGAGGGAAACUUCAGCUAAUACCGUAUGUGCCCUUCGGGGGAAAGGAUUUAUCGCCAUUGGAGCGGCCCGCGUUGGAUUAGCUAGUUGGUGGGGUAAUGGCCCACCAAGGCGACGAUCCAUAGCUGGUCUGAGAGGAUGAUCAGCCACACUGGGACUGAGAUACGGCCCAGACUCCUACGGGAGGCAGCAGUAGGGAAUCUUGCGCAAUGGGCGAAAGCCUGACGCAGCCAUGCCGCGUGAAUGAUGAAGGUCUUAGGAUUGUAAAAUUACUUUCACCGGGGACGAUAAUGACGGUACCCGGACGAAGAAGCCCCGGCUAACUUCGUG
rnacentral:rRNA from 1 species